GUGAGUGCAGGUGUGCAGAGUUCAGAAUUCUCUUCAACUAAAGUUACGGGUAAUUCUGAGCUGCCCAACAGUGCUGGAGACUGAACUUGCAUCAUCUUCAAGAGCAAUGCAUGCUGUCAAUGACUGAUCCAUCUCUCCAUCCCUGGAAUGUCUACUUACAGGAGUGAUUCUCGAGAGAUCAUGAGAUAUCCACGUGUGUGUUCAUCUAUGUCCCUGACAUGGGUUGCUAAGCAACAGUGAGGUAGAAAAGCAGGAAGUGGUAAUGAGAAGACAACUCAGUGGAGAAGAGUACAUUGCACACAUGCGUGAGGACUUACAUUUGGAUCCCAGCACCCAUGAAAAAAGACAGAAUUGAAAAUAAGAAUCUGAUUUGCUCCCUCUGCUGGAGAGAUGAUUUUGAGCCCUGCAAAGUGAUGUACUCGUUUUUGCUUCUCUAACUAAAGAACUCAGUUGGUAAUCAAAAGUCACGGCACCCAGGGAGGGAAGGAGAAGUCUGCUUCUACAUUCACUGCUACAUUCCAUUUCAAAAAGAAGCCAAAUAAAGAGACUUACUUUUGGAAAAUGUUUUCUUGAAAAGGGAGAAUUACAUCUGCUUUCUAUAACUUCCGUUACUGUUUGUUCCAUGGGGUCUCUUCCUGCAGCUGCUUGUCUAUCAGGAUGGCCAGUGUUUUGUGUUCAUUCGUAGCUGGUGUGGACUCUUGAGGACUGCCUAUUAAAGCACCCGUGCCCGGCAAACACAGCAGAGCGUUCCUCCA